rnacentral:sRNA from 1 species
AUGCAUUUGCUUUCAGCCGCAGAGAGAAGAAGCUGCCCAAGAAUGGAAAGGAAGAAAUAUAUCACAUCAUCUGUCUGUCCACAGGCUUUCCUUGGGGCUUAUGAAGUGAAUGAAGGAGGGAAGAAAGGAGAGACAGAGAAAAUAUGGAUUUCCUCAUGGUUGUGAUUCCUCUUCACUCUUUUGAAUUUGGAAGGAUGGCAUACACAUCUGAAAAAUACCACUACUUCCUUCAUUGGACUGCAAGGUAUUUCUGUUUGGAAAAGUAAUGGAGUCCAGUCAACUUCAUUGAUCGCCAAGGACUGUCAAAAUUAUAAAACUUGCUGUGGAGCUCUGACAUGCCAGAAGCCGCUAGAAAAAGAAGUUUGACAUUCAGAAACUUAUCAAGAGGUUCUACUCUUUGGAUAGAGACCAAAAUCAUACUUUGAAAAAGCCUGACAGGUUUCUUCGGAAAAGUGGCCAUCCAUGGAAUGAAUGAAAUGUUCUCUUUCUAUUCCAGGGAUUGCAGUGGCAAAGCUAGGCUAGGUCUUGGAGGCUGGUGUAAGGCGAUGUGGGUGAAGGCAGGAGGCUGAUGGAAAGACUGGGGGGAAGAAAAGCCGAAAUGGAUUCACGGUGCCUUGGAUGAAGGACGAGAGGGGAACUGCAAGCUCCUUCAACUGGUUCUGUCCGGUGAGAAGUGAUCAAGCUUGGGCUGACAAGAGGCUCAGGGAGCCCUCACGUUCUUUCGCUUUUUUACCUGCCAAUCAAACUGCUACAAGACAACACCCUGAUCUGGCAUGGACAUCGCGGGUCCAAGCCUGUAGCCCCAAAUCGGAUAAUCUCUGCAGCUGAUAACAAGCAAAAGAGAAGCCAGGCAACAGCCAUAUUAAAGAAGAAAACAAUCAACUCUGAGAUCCAACUUAGAAAUAAUGUUUCAUUCAAGAUAAGGCUCGUGGCUUAGGAGAUUGUGACCUGGCUUGCAUCAUUCUAAGACUUCUAUCGUCUGUUUUCAAAACCCAAGGAGGACCUCCUUUUCUGUGUGAUAGUUCCUCAUGCUUUGCCAGCCACUGGGUCUUUAAGGAAGCUUGCCAAGAGUUCCCGGCUGGGAAGGACAGUUCGAGUUCAUCAUAGACAAUGAGCUGGCACCACAGUUUAAGUGACUCACCAACCUGGUUGCCCACUUCAAAAUGUCAAGAACCACACUAUCUAAUUGAAAGAACUGUGUUUUAGCAAAGUGUAAUUGGAUCGCCUGGCAAGAUCAUCUCAAACUAUGUCUCUGACCUUGCCUUUCAGUGGCUAUUUUGAGCACAAGAGGAGAAAGGAAAUGAUUCCUGAAUUAUAUCUUGUUUUUAAAAAUUAAGAUUAAUUAAUACUUGGUUUUAUGUUCAUUCCAUUGUAGGAACUUAGUGAUUAUUACAAAACAGUCAAAAUAGGUCAUAGCAAAAUGAACGUUUAAGAUUAGGUUAAAACAUUCCUCUGAAAUUUUAGUAUUCACUUUUGAAGUGUCAAUUACUAUAUUUCUGUAAUUUCUCAUUUUUUUCUUGGCUUAGAGUCAAGAUGAAAAAUGAUAUUUGAAUCAAAGACAUUGUUUUGUUAUAUAGCCACUCCUUUCUAAAAUGCAAAUCCACCCUCCCCUCACCAAUGCUUUAUUCUUUGUGCGCGCACACACACACACACACACACACACACACACACACACACACAGACAUACACAGAACCAGCACCCAAAUGGUAGAGGAGGUCCUUCCAAGACUUCUAGGACCUGGAUCAUGUAAGCAGUAGAUGAGAAAAUGAAGUAAGAGAUAUAGAGUAAUAACAAUAAAAGUCAAUGAUUUCAUUUUACAAAAAAGUCAUUGUGUAGUACUCAGAUAUUUUUAAGAGCAAGUAUUAUUAUGACUAAAGUAUAUUAUACUUCUAAAUUAUUAUGAUUCUCAUCUAAUUUCAAGCCACACAUAGGCGCCAUUUGAAAGCAUUUUGUGUUACAACCUAUCAACAAAAAUCAACUAAUAGUUUUAUAACGUGCAUAGGUUUACCCCAUGGGGAAUUAAAAUUUUUAUCUGCAAGUAUUUCUGUUGUUGUGAGACUUUAGGACAAGACAACAUUUGGUGUUAACAUAGAAGAAUAUUCUAUGGCUUUUUUAGCUUUAAAGUUCAUUACUCUAAAAUAAAGUACACGUGGUAUUUUUUUCUUCCUAGUGUUCUCUUAUUAUAUGUAGAGUAUUUUCGGUUGUUGUUUUUAACGUAUACAUUAUUUUUAUUAAGUCAUUUCAUAAAAGAUAAGAUAUAUACUAAUAGACCCUUGGUUUUCUCCUAAUUUAAUUAUUUCAAGUCAAGCAAAAUUGGGCAAUUUUCUUUCAGGAAAAAAAAAAUAUUGAGCAUGAUUUUGAGGUAAAACUGAUUAUUUACAGCAUCUUUUCUCUAAUAGGCUAACAUUUAUGAUGGAUCUUAUUUCAAAGUUGAUUAUUCUCAAAGAAAAGUGGAGAUAUUAGAAUUUCCGAGUAAAUUGCAUUGUUUUAAAAAGUACUUUAAUGCAUUGUUCACAUUGUUGCCAGCUAUUGACCAAAAAAAAAAAAAAAAAAAAAAAAAAAAAAAAAAAA